AAGGAUUUAAGUUUAACCCAAACUAAUAGCCUUCAAAGCUGUAAAUAGAAAUUAAUAUCUAAGCCUUA
rnacentral:tRNA from 1 species